rnacentral:tRNA from 1 species
AACUAAUGAACUUGAAUAAGUGUAUAUUUUGAAAAUAUAAAAUAGAAAAAUCUUUCUAUUAGUUU